rnacentral:rRNA from 1 species
CAAUAGCGUAUAUUAAAGUUGUUGCAGUUAAAAAGCUCGUAGUUGGAUUUCUGGUCGGAAGCUCCUGUCCCCUGAUGAGCGUACAAGUGCGUCCUACCAUCCUUCUGUUAACCUUUAAGGCUUUCGCGGCUUUCUAGGGGCUCAGAUAUUUUACCUUGAGAAAAUUAGAGUGUUUCAGGCAGGCUAGCGCCGGAAUACAUUAGCAUGGAAUAAUGGAAUAGGACUUUUGCCUCUUCUGUUGGUCAUGAGGCUCGAGUAAUGAUUAAUAGGGAUAGUUGGGGGCAUUAGUACUUAACUGUCAGAGGUGAAAUUCUCGGAUUUGUUAAAGACUAACUUAUGCGAAAGCAUUUGCCAAGGAUGUUUNCAUUAA